rfam:Picea glauca, whole genome shotgun sequence.
AGAUCUUGGUGGUAGUAGCAAAUAUUCAAAUGAGAACUUUGAAGACUGAAGUGGGGAAAGGUUCCAUGUGAACAACACUUGGACAUGGGUUAGUCGAUCCUAAGAUAUUGGGAAGCCCUGUAUCAAGGGUGCACUAUGCACAAACAUCGAAAGGGAAUCGGGUUAAUAUUCCCGAACUGGGACAUGGCAGCGGACGACAACAUUAGGAAAUCUGGAGACGUCGUCGGGGGCCUCAGGAAGAGUUAUAUUUUCUUUUUAAUAGCUUACCCACCCUGAAAUUGGCUCAACCGGAGAUAGGGUCCAGCAGCUAGAAGAGCAUCGCACAUAUUGUGGUGUCUAGUGCGCCCUUGACGACCCUUGAAAAUCUGGAGGACCAAGUACCGUCCAUGCCCGAUCAUACUCAUAACUGCAUCAGGUCUCCAAGGUGAAUAGCCUCUGCUCAAUAGAACAAUGUAGGUAAGGGAAGUCGACAAAACGGAUCCGUAACUUCGGGAAAAGUAUUAGCUCUGAGGGCUGGGCCUAGGGGUCUACGUCCUCAACCUGUGGGUUGUCGGCAGUCUACCUGAGCUGCUAUCGCGGCGAGGGCGGGCAGUCAUGUGCCAAUUGGGCUACGGACGUAGAAUGUCCUCUCGUGGGGGAUUUUCCCUAGGCGACGAACAGUCGACUCAGAACUUGUACGGACAAGGGGAAUCUGACUGUUUAAUUAAAACAAUGCAUUGCAAUGGUCAUUGAGGAUGCUGACGUAAUGUGAUUUCUGCCCAGUGCUCUGAAUGUCAAAGUGAAGAAAUUCAACCAAGAGCGGGUAAACUGCGGGAGUAACUAUGACUCUCUUAAGGUAGCCAAAUGCCUCGUCAUCUAAUUAGUGACAUGCAUGAAUGGAUUAAUGAGAUUCCCACUAUCCCUAUCUACUAUCUAGCGAAACCACAGCCAAGGGAAUGGGCUUGGAAAAAUCAGUGGGGAAAGAAGACCCUGUUGAGCUUGACUCUAGUCCGACUUUGUGAAAUGACUUGAGAGGUGUAGAAUAAGUGGGAGCCGUUUUCGGCGCAAGUGAAAUACCACUACUUUUAACGUUAUUUUACUUAUCCCAUGGGGAAGAGAUGGGGCAUUGCCCCUGUUUUUGGCCUUAAGACACAUUUUGACGGGUCGAUUCAGGUGGGGAGUUUGGCUAGGGUGGAACAUCUGUUAAAAGAUAACGCAGGUGUCCUAAGAUGAGCUCAACGAGAAUAGAAAUCUCAUGUGGAACAAAAGGGUAAAAUCUCAUUUGAUUUUGAUUUUCAGUAUGAAUACAAACCGUGAAAGCGUGGCCUAUCGAUCCUUUAGACUUUCGGAAUUUGAAGCUAGAGGUGUCAGAAAAGUUACCAUAGGGAUAACUGGCUUGUGGCAGCCAAGCGUUCAUAGUGACGUUGCUUUUUGAUCCAUUGAUGUCGACUCUUCUUAUCAUUCUGAAGAAGAAUUCACCAAGUGUUGGAUUGUUCACCCACCAAUAGGGAACGUGAGCUGGGUUUAGACCAUCGUGAGACGGGUUAGUUUUACCCUACUGAUGAACUGUGCUGCAAUAGUAAUUCAACUUAGUACGAGAGGAACCGUUGAUUCACACAAUUAGUCAUCGCGCUUAGUUGAAAAGCCAGUGGCGCAAAGCUACCAUGUGUCGGAUUAUGACUGAAUGCCUCUAAGUCAGAAUCCAUGCUAGAAUUGGUGCUUGUCACUCCUUGACUGUAUCUUGACCCGCAGUAGGGGUUUCGCUUCAGCACCCCCAGGGCCCCGUGUCACUUGCAAACCUCGGCCGGGAAGCGUCUCGAUUGGGGCAACUUUGAAGUUCAAUUUCAAAUGGUCAUUGAGAAGAAUCCUUUGCAGACAACUUAAAUAUGCGACGGGGUAUUGUAAGUGGCAGAGUGGCCUUGCUACCAUGAUCCAUUGAGAUUCAGCCCUUCGUCGCCUCGAUUCAG